rnacentral:ncRNA from 1 species
CCUUUGGAGUGCUAUAUCAAACAAUAUUAGGUUUAUACCGAGGUUGGGCACGAAGAAUAAGGAA